UAACACAUGCAAGUCGAGCGAAGUCUUCGGACUUAGCGGCGGACGGGUGAGUAACGCGUGGGAACAUACCCUUUGGUACGGAAUAGCCUCGGGAAACUGGGAGUAAUACCGUAUACGCCCUUCGGGGGAAAGAUUUGUCGCUAUCAGAUGGACCCGCGCUAGAUUAGAUAGUUGGUGAGGUAACGGCUCACCAAGUCGACGAUCUAUAGCUGGUUUGAGAGGAUGAUCAGCCACACUGGGACUGAGAUACGGCCCAGACUCC
rnacentral:rRNA from 1 species